GAGGGAUCAUUACAAGUGACCCCGGCUACGGCCGGGAUGUUCAUAACCCUUUGUUGUCCGACUCUGUUGCCUCCGGGGCGACCCUGCCUUCGGGCGGGGGCUCCGGGUGGACACUUCAAACUCUUGCGUAACUUUGCAGUCUGAGUAAACUUAAUUAAUAAAUUAAAACUUUUAACAACGGAUCUCUUGGUUCUGGCAUCGAUGAAGAACGCAGCGAAAUGCGAUAAGUAAUGUGAAUUGCAGAAUUCAGUGAAUCAUCGAAUCUUUGAACGCACAUUGCGCCCCCUGGUAUUCCGGGGGGCAUGCCUGUUCGAGCGUCAUUUCACCACUCAAGCCUCGCUUGGUAUUGGGCAACGCGGUCCGCCGCGUGCCUCAAAUCGUCCGGCUGGGUCUUCUGUCCCCUAAGCGUUGUGGAAACUAUUCGCUAAAGGGUGUUCGGGAGGCUACGCCGUAAAACAACCCCAUUUCUAAGGUUGACCUCGGAUCAGGUAGGGAUACCCGCUGAACUUAAGCAUA
rnacentral:rRNA from 1 species